rnacentral:rRNA from 1 species
GAUGAACGCUGGCGGCGUGCCUAAUACAUGCAAGUCGAGCGAACGGACGAGAAGCUUGCUUCUCUCAUGUUAGCGGCGGACGGGUGAGUAACACGUGGAUAACCUACCUCUAACUCUGGGAUAACUUCGGGAAACCGGAGCUAAUACCGGAUAAUAUUUUGAACCGCAUGCUUCAAACGUGAAAGACGGUCUUGCUGUCAGUUAUAGCUGGAUCCGUGGUGCAUUGGCUAGUGGGUAAGGUAACGAUUGACCAAGGCAGCGACGGAUAGCCGACCUGAGAGGGGGGCCAGGCACACUGGGACUGCGAGAGGGCGCAGACUGCUACGGGCCGCAGCGGUGGGGAGUAUUGCGGAGUGGGGGCAAGCCUGUUGCAAAGACGUCGGGUGCGUGAAGAUGUGUUACGGGGGGUAAACAUCUGUGAGCAGGGAUGUAGCGAAAGUGACGGUACCUGCAGAAAAAGCACCGGCUAACUACGUG